AGAUGAUGAUGAUGAUGAUGAUGAUGAUGAUGAUGUGUGUUGUAUUCAUUAUCAUCAUCAUCAUCAUAUUCA
rnacentral:miRNA from 1 species